GAGUAAUUUUCUAGAGUUAGGAUAAUUGGUCAGAGGCCAGAGAGGAGUAGAAAUGGAUAAAUCAAAGGAAAUGCCCUGCUCUCAACCCACAAAAUGACCAGCAGUUGCCAGCAACCUGGAAUCACAAGGAGGCACCAGCUAAAAGGCCAUUCACUCUCCAAAUAUCUGAAAGAACAGGACAGUUCAGUCAUUUUCAUAAAAAAAGCCUCCCAGAAGCUCUGCGUGUGUCUCUCCAAUGCCGCUACAGGGCAUCCAGGUUCCUGGGAAGGGAGCCUCACUGUUUCUUACAUUCCUCCUGGCUGGGCCAGCACUGGGAAAUUCUCCAGAAGAGAGGUGACAGACCAAGGUAACAGAUUUGAAGACCUGAUUCAGAAUUGGGAAUGGAGAUACAGGUCAUGCAUUGUUGACAACCUGAAAUUAGGACCCACCCAGGCCUCUCUGUUCUUCUGGGGGUGGUGGGAAUGCUGCAGAAGCUGGUGCCCCAGUGGGAGGAUCUCCAAGGCCUGCUGAGGCAGCAGGGGAAUUACCCAGGCCCAGUGAAGGUACAUUGCCAGGGCGAGAGGUGACACCAUGGUCAGAAAGAGCCACGUCAUACCCAGGUGAGCAAUGGAGCACAUCUGAACUGAAGGGCAAGGCCAGGCCUGAGUUGGUCAUCUGAGGGGUGUGGAGGUAAACAGUGGAGGUGGGGUGGGGUGGGAUGAGGAGCACAGAGGGUCUAGUUAGUUGGGGUUCUGUCCAGGAAGUGGGAGUCUAGGCCAGAGUGUGAGUGUCUGAGGAAUACCCCUCUUAACUGACCCCACAGCCUGUUUUUGUCAAUCUGGAUACGAUUGUUUCUGGAAGAAACCUGCCUUAGAAAAAGGUUCUGUUUUACUCUUCAGAGGUCCCUAGGAGCUCCCUCACCAGGACAAGGAAAGCCCACCCCUGAGGGGUCACUGGCAGCAUGGCUGCCAAAGUAGGUCCUCCUUAAAGAAGCUUGGACCCUUGGACACACCUCCCAGCAGGCCACCUUUCCACCUCCUCCAGGUGAUGCGGAUGUUGCGGGCCAAUGGACUUGGAGUGGUGAGGCCUGAGCAGGUUCAGCCAGGCUGAAGACUCUCAGGCUUCUGUGAAGAGGAUCCUGGAAGAGCCAUUUCCCUGUAGAGGGCAUUGCAGGCAUCUGCGGAGGCGUGGGCCCCUCCAGUAAGGGGGAACUAGUUUUACUUAUUUUUCCCACAAAGGGCCUGGGGGAGACACGAUGAAGUUGGAAAGUUUGACCUAUGAAUUUUUAGUAGCAUUUAUAUUUUCCCUUUAUUUGGGGAGAGCUCUUCCUGGAGGCUGAUUUGUUAUGUUAAAUGACCCAAAGGAUCCUGACCUGCUUUCAUCCAUUUUUUUUCUUGGAUCUCUCCCAAUGUUGCCCUUUCCAGGAAGAGAGGGAAGAAUGCCAAGAUCACAGUCUCUAUGGGGAUCUAGAAUCCUGAUUUAUGACUGUCCUCUGAACUCAGAGACCUGCCCACGUUUCCAGCAGACUUCUGCACUGCCCUGGCCCUGAGCCUGACUGUCCUAACUUGAUCGUGGGGGAGAGGACUUAAUCCAUGGCUUCUUGUUCUUUAAUAGAGGAAGUAGACUCAACUCAGAAAAAUGGGGCAUUAACGCUGUGAUUUAAUGGCAUUUAUUGAUUCAACAUUAUAAUUAAGAGUUCAGGUUUUAAAGACAGUUGACCCUAACUUUCACUAUAUCACUUACUAGCUGUGUGGGCAACUUAUUUAAAUCAUUUUUUUCUGACUGCAAAAGUGACACCCAUUAAAAAUGAAAAAAAUUUAAAAAUUACAGAAAAACUUAACAUGAAAAAUAAAAAGUUAACUAUUUAAAAUUUCU
ensembl:lncRNA